GGGUGCAGCUGUUAUUAGGUUUCGAAAAAUACAACUCUUUGCAUCUCGCUUUUCGUUCAAGUUAUUCUCAUUACCCUCGAAAUCAAGUGGUUUUGUCUUCGAAUAUUUUUAUUUAAGAGGAAGCCUACUGGUCAAAAUAUUGCUGGCUCACUCUUUAGGUCUCGCAGUCAACGCCGACGACACUUUUAUCGACUGACGUAGAUUAACAUGUGAUAAAAAAAGACAGUGUACUAUCCAAGAAAAGAAAUACAAACAGAGAUCUGCAGAAUAUUCUGAAAUUGUCAUCUAGCAGACACCAUGACCAACGCGCUCGAAUGAUUUCUGUAAAAAAUGUUCGGGUCACGACAAAGGUGUUACUUUGGCGGACUUUUGCAUGGAGAUGUUUGAUGGUGUUUUAUAAUUUAACAGAGCUACCGAUAUUUCUUCUCGAGCGACAGCGCAGAAUUCCUCGUCUGUAAAAGCGGAAGAUGUCACACACGAAAGGUGCUAUGUCGACCAACACGUUGCUUGUAACUUUAAAUCACCAAAAAUGGGCGAUAAGGACAACAGACUAUCAGAUCAUUGACUAAUUAAUGUUUUCUGCCGUACGAAAGCCAUAUUUGCUGAUUUUGGCAAAUCUCCAAAGUAACAAACCACAGAAGAAAGAGGCGUUACGACUUUCCAUGAACAUUUGCCUACACACAUCUCGCUUUUAAACGUGAAGUUUUUUACUCCUAUAAAAAAUCUCGCAGUUUUUCACACUUUUAACUUUGUUGAUUAAUGAUGUUGUAUAGCGAACUAUAAAAUGCUGGAUUAAUUGGCCAAGCAACCGCCUAGACCCAGAAUUGCGUGACAGGUGUACUUCAGGGAACCUUGUCACAGCAGCAGAUUUUAAAAGGCAUUCGAGACAAAAAUACGGCAGACCCCCAAGAUAUUUUUUAGAUGGUUUUCACAGAUGAAAUGAUAGAUUAUAAAGGCGACUUAAAAUUGGUGUUGUAACUGUCUGGCAAGGGGAGCUAUUUAACUCCAAGGUUAUCAAAUAUUUGGAUUUAUCAAAAAGUCUAAAAAUAAACUGAGUAAUGUAUUUGCUUUUG